GUUAGACUAGCCAGCUACUGUAAAUGUCAAUGUGUCAGGUUAGACGAGCCAGCUACUGUAAAUGUGUCAGGUUAGACUAGCCAGCUACUGUAAAUGUGUCAGGUUAGACUAGCCAGCUACUGUAAAUGUCAAUGUGUCAGGUUAGACGAGCCAGCUACUGUAAAUGUGUCAGGUUAGACGAGCCAGCUACUGUAAAUGUCAAUGUGUCAGGUUAGACGAGCCAGCUACUGUAAAUGUCAAUGUGUCAGGUUAGACGAGCCAGCUACUGUAAAUGUCAAUGUGUCAGGUUAGACGAGCCAGCUACUGUAAAUGUCAAUGUGUCAGGUUAGACGAGCCAGCUACUGUAAAUGUCAAUGUGUCAGGUUAGACGAGCCAGCUACUGUAAAUGUCAAUGUGUCAGGUUAGACGAGCCAGCUACUGUAAAUGUCAAUGUGUCAGGUUAGACGAGCCAGCUACUGUAAAUGUCAAUGUGUCAGGUUAGACGAGCCAGCUACUGUAAAUGUCAAUGUGUCAGGUUAGACGAGCCAGCUACUGUAAAUGUCAAUGUGUCAGGUUAGACGAGCCAGCUACUGUAAAUGUCAAUGUGUCAGGUUAGACGAGCCAGCUACUGUAAAUGUCAAUGUGUCAGGUUAGACGAGCCAGCUACUGUAAAUGUCAAUGUGUCAGGUUAGACGAGCCAGCUACUGUAAAUGUCAAGA